rnacentral:rRNA from 1 species
GACAGAGGUGGCGAGCGUUGUUCGGAAUUACUGGGCUUAAAGGGUGCGUAGGCGGUGGUUUAAGUCUGAGGUGGAAUGCUACAGCUCAACUGUAGAGCUGCCUUGGAAACUGGAUUACUUGAGUCGGUGAGGGGAAGGUGGAAUUCCAGGUGUAGCGGUGAAAUGCGUAGAUAUCUGGAGGAAGGUCUGUGGCGAAGGCGACCUUCUGGCACUUGACUGACGCUGAGGCACGAAAGCGUGGGUAGCAAACAGG